AACCAGAAAUAUUGUUUUCCUUUGAAACCCUAAAGAAUUAAUAAAAACAAAAAGAGAGCAAAGAACAAAUAAAUAAACCCACUCUCCUUUAUCUUUUCCAUCUCCUUGCCUCUUUCUCUUUCUCUUUCUCUGCAACUCUUUUGUUUGAUGUGAUUCUCCACCAUAUCUCUAAGAACCCAUCUUCCUUUACAAAAAAAAUACAGAAAUCUUGAUAGCCACCAUGGUUUUCCCAUCUAUUCCUGUCUAUCUAGAUCCAUCCAAUUGGCAACAGCAACCAAAUCAGCAACCUGUAGGAGGCAACACUGAGAACUCGCAGCUUCAACUACCGCCGCUACCUGGAUUAGGUGGCGGCGGUGGUGGCACGGGCUCAAUCAGACCCGGUUUGAUGGCGGAGCGAGCUCGACUGGCGAAGAUUCCUCAACCUGAAGCAGCCCUAAAAUGUCCAAGAUGUGAUUCUACAAACACUAAAUUUUGUUACUUCAAUAACUACAACCUUUCGCAGCCUCGCCACUUCUGCAAGACCUGCCGGCGAUACUGGACGAGAGGUGGUGCACUUAGAAACGUACCAGUCGGAGGUGGCUGUAGAAGAAACAAAAGAAGCAAAGGAAGCAGCAGAUCCAAAUCUCCGGCUGUAACCGAGAGUCAAACCGGGGCGACCUCAUCUAGUACACUUGCUUCUAGACGUUCAACAACUGAUAUCAUCGGCCACAUGCCACCUCCGCCCUCACAAUUACAAAUUUUGCCCCCUUUACAUCAUCUUAGUGGUUUCAAUUCAGCUAAUAUUGGUUUGAAUUUUGGGGGAAUUCAAGUUCCAGGGGUGGCAACUGCUACUGGUGGUGGUAAUAGUGGCAAUAAUGAUAUUGAAAUUCGGGUGGGAGCUGCGUCAGGAGGUGUUAGCGGCGGUGCUGGUGGUUCUUCUUUAAUUUCAAGUGGGCUUGUUGAGCAGUGGAGAUUGCAACAGGUGCAACAAUAUCCUUUCUUGACGGGCAUGGAGCCAACGACUGGUUUGUAUCAGUUCGAGAGUGAAGGCGCCGUGGCGCCGAAUUAUUAUGUUGGUCAGCUUCGGUCAAAGCCGAUGGAUUCUCCGGUUACGCAGUCGGCAAAUGUGAAAAUGGAAGAAAAUCAAGGGCUAAAUUUAUCACGAAAUUUUUUGGGUAUAUCAGGAAAUGAUCAAUAUUGGAAUACUAGCAAUGCAUGGACAGAUGUCUCUGGAUUCAAUUCAUCUUCCACCAGCCAUUUUCUAUGAUAUUUUUUAAUCUCAAUAGCCCCUUCUCAAAAAGAAACCUCCCUCUUGCUUUGUGGUUAAUAAUUAUAUUUCUCUUUUUCCUUUGGCCUAAAAAGUGAUUUCAAAUUAAGGCCUUAACUCUCAAGAUCAAACCACUAAAGAUCGUAAGUUGACAUGGAAAUUAUGGAUAUCGCUGAAAGAAAUUUAGAACGAUGAGAUGAACUAAUCUCUUUGCCAAAUUGGGAUAACAAUGAGCCAUAAUUCUUGUUGAUAAAUCGAUUCAGAUUAUACAGUAAUCAAGAGGGGAUAUAAAGUGAGCAAGAAGAAUCUUGGCUCAUGGAUCAUACAGUUGAAGAGUUUCUCUCGCUAAUUUGGUUUAGUAGCAGCAUUUUCACAGAAGAGCUCGUGUCAUUUCAUAUCAAAGCCUCUGCAAAACAACAAAAGAGAGUUAAGUCUUCAUCCUUGGUAAGUGGAGUGGCUAUUGACAGAAUUUAUUGGCGUUAUAGUUAGUUUCAUGAAAUGUAAGAUCUCUUCCACCUCCUGCAACUCUUUCUCUCUGGUCACACAGAGACGUUUUGCAGAUGACUCAUCCAUGUACCCUUUAAUAAUUAGUCGCACGCCUUGCUUCUUUUGGCCAAUACACUCCGCAGCAUCCUUACUUCGUAGUUUCUGCAUGUCUUGUUUCAUCAUCAACAUACAGUCAGUACCUUUAAUCAUCCGAUGGGCAAUUUCAGUUUCCAA